UACGAAGGGGGCUAGCGUUGCUCGGAAUCACUGGGCGUAAAGCGCACGUAGGCGGCUUUCUAAGUCAGGGGUGAAAUCCUGGAGCUCAACUCCAGAACUGCCUUUGAUACUGGAGAGCUUGAGUCCGGGAGAGGUGGGUGGAACUCCGAGUGUAGAGGUGAAAUUCGUAGAUAUUCGGAAGAACACCAGUGGCGAAGGCGGCUCACUGGCCCGGUACUGACGCUGAGGUGCGAAAGCGUGGGGAGCAAACAGG
rnacentral:rRNA from 1 species